ACGGGGAUAGCUCAGUUGGGAGAGCGUCAGACUAAAGAUCUGAAGGUCACAUGUUCAUUUCACGCA
rnacentral:tRNA from 1 species